GCCCUGAUAGCUUAAAGGAUAAAGCUCCUUCCUAACGAAAAGGACGAUGUCAGUUCGAAUCUGACUCAGGGCG
rnacentral:tRNA from 1 species